UUUGCUCUAAAGACAGUCAAACAUUUAAAAGCAUUUCAUUUAAACCCCAAGCCUUCAGCAUGAAAGAAGCAUGUUUAAAAAAAACAAACCCCAAGACAUGUAUUGAUAUCUGCAAAAGGUCUCCACGUGGAAAUGGGUACAGCUGCAUUAAGGAUUGGUGCUUUUACUGUUAAUACUGUAAGAAAGCCCUACAAAAAAUAUAUUUUAACUAAAAGAAAAAAAUGUAGCCAAAAGCAACUCAGUUGUGGAGACAGCUUAAUUCUUCCACCCUCAGAGGACAAAAGGCAAUGCUAGGGAGGGGUGCCUAUGUCUUUAAGGAUCUAUUAUUUCAGAGUUGCAGUGAUCAAAUUCACCUGCUAGUUACUACACUGAAGUUGUUUGAAACAAUGGGUUAGGAAGGUAUCAAAAACCUAGGUAGUUUGGAGACUGUCCUUUUCAACAGAAACUUUCUUGAAUGGCUGCUGGAGUGCAACAGGAGAAGUGUGAUCUGUUUAACAUGGAACCAGUCAUUUUAAGCUGCAGUUCCCCACCAGGCCAAGGCCCAAGCACACAUUGGGGGAGGGA